rnacentral:rRNA from 1 species
GACGAACGCUGGCGGCGUGCUUAACACAUGCAAGUCGAACGGAAAGGCCCUGCUUUUGUGGGGUGCUCGAGUGGCGAACGGGUGAGUAACACGUGAGUAACCUGCCCUUGACUUUGGGAUAACUUCAGGAAACUGGGGCUAAUACCGGAUAGGAGCUCCUGCUGCAUGGUGGGGGUUGGAAAGUUUCGGCGGUUGGGGAUGGACUCGCGGCUUAUCAGCUUGUUGGUGGGGUAGUGGCUUACCAAGGCUUUGACGGGUAGCCGGCCUGAGAGGGUGACCGGCCACAUUGGGACUGAGAUACGGCCCAGACUCCUACGGGAGGCAGCAGUGGGGAAUAUUGCACAAUGGGCGGAAGCCUGAUGCAGCAACGCCGCGUGCGGGAUGACGGCCUUCGGGUUGUAAACCGCUUUCGCCUGUGACGAAGCGUGAGUGACGGUAAUGGGUAAAGAAGCACCGGCUAACUACGUGCCAGCAGCCGCGGUGAUACGUAGGGUGCGAGCGUUGUCCGGAUUUAUUGGGCGUAAAGGGCUCGUAGGUGGUUGAUCGCGUCGGAAGUGUAAUCUUGGGGCUUAACCCUGAGCGUGCUUUCGAUACGGGUUGACUUGAGGAAGGUAGGGGAGAAUGGAAUUCCUGGUGGAGCGGUGGAAUGCGCAGAUAUCAGGGGGAACACCAGUGGCGAAGGCGGUUCUCUGGGCCUUUCCUGACGCUGAGGAGCGAAAGCGUGGGGAGCGAACAGGCUUAGAUACCCUGGUAGUCCACGCUGUAAACGGUGGGUACUAGGUGUGGGGUCCAUUCCACGGGUUCCGUGCCGUAGCUAACGCUUUAAGUACCCCGCCUGGGGAGUACGGCCGCAAGGCUAAAACUCAAAGGAAUUGACGGGGCCCCGCACAAGCGGCGGAGCAUGCGGAUUAAUUCGAUGCAACGCGUAGAACCUUACCUGGGUUUGACAUGGAUCGGGAGUGCUCAGAGAUGGGUGUGCCUCUUUUGGGGUCGGUUCACAGGUGGUGCAUGGCUGUCGUCAGCUCGUGUCGUGAGAUGUUGGGUUAAGUCCCGCAACGAGCGCAACCCUUGUUCACUGUUGCCAGCACGUUAUGGUGGGGACUCAGUGGAGACCGCCGGGGUCAACUCGGAGGAAGGUGGGGAUGACGUCAAGUCAUCAUGCCCCUUAUGUCCAGGGCUUCACGCAUGCUACAAUGGCUGGUACAGAGAGUGGCGAGCCUGUGAGGGUGAGCGAAUCUCGGAAAGCCGGUCUCAGUUCGGAUUGGGGUCUGCAACUCGACCUCAUGAAGUCGUAGUCGCUAGUAAUCGCAGAUCAGCAACGCUGCGGUGAAUACGUUCCCGGG